rnacentral:other from 1 species
GUCUACCUGCCUUGUGCGUGAUAGAGGAAAAAACUUGAACCGACAAUCAGUCAAGUUAGGGAGCCAGCGUAAGGCAAGUGUGAGCGCCCCAAUUCGUAGGGGGAGGCCUAAUCUUGCCUUCAAGGCACCCACCUUUAAUCAGGGUUCAAGAUUUUCUACCUACACGGCAAGGUGGGUAUUGG